GCCCAAGAACAAAAGUCUUGGUCCUGAACCUACCACUACCUGACCCCAAAACUAUACAUGCAAGCCUCAACAAAACAGUGAGUAGCCCACCAAAUCACAAAAGAAAAAAUGGAGCGCAUAUAAGAACAUGGCUCGCCCCAGUCAAAAUAAAAGGAAAACCCACACCUUCACAGGAACACAGCAGUAAUUAACAUUAGGCCAUGAGCGAAAGCUUGACCUAGUUAUGGGAACAAAAGCCGGUAAAACUCGUGCCAGCUACCGCGGUUAUACGAGAGGCUUAAGAUAGCACCACACCGGCGAAAACAUGACCAGAGCACAUCAACAAGCCUAAGAAGAAAGGAAAAACAAGCCGUCCAACGCUAAGAGAAAACGAAUCCACUACCUUAUACACCCGACCCCUUAAAGCAUAAAAGCUGGGAAACAAACUAGGAUUAGACACCCUACUAUGCCCAGCCGUAAGAGGCCAAACCACGCCCGCCAGACAAAUACGAGCGAAAGCUUAAAACUCAAAGGACUUGACGGCACCCCACAUCACCCUAGAGGAGCCUGUCCUAUAAUCGACAACCCCCGCUAAAACCUCACCGCCCCUUGCCAACCAGUCUAUAUACCGCCGUCGUCAGCUCACCCUGCAAAAGAACAAAAGUGGGCAAAACAGUUUAUGCACUAAAACGACAGGUCAAAGCGUAGCACAUGGGGCGGGCUGAGAUGGGCUACAUUUUCUAAAGCAGAAUACACAAAAAAUCGCAUGAAAAACGCCAAAAAGGCGGAUUUAGCAGUAAGACGGGACAGAAAAGCACGUCUGAACGUCGCACCGGGAUGCGCACACACCGCCCGUCACCCCCCUCUACCAGCAAGAAAUCAUUCAUAAAAUCACCGCAUUAAAAAGAUGGGGAAAGUCGUAACAAGGUGAGCGCACUGGAAAGUGUGCUCGUAUAC
rnacentral:ncRNA from 1 species